rnacentral:lncRNA from 1 species
CGUACCACUAAAUCGAGUCGAGAAACUUGAAAUGAUCAAAAUGCUGCGUGCUCGUUCGUCCCUCCUCCUUCUCCUCAUCCUCCUUCCUUUCUUGGUUAAAGCUCAAAAGAAGAUCACCAGCAACCUCAAAGUCAAAGAUGUAGCAGAGUUUGCGGUCGACGUGUACAACAUAAUACAUAAGAAGAAGUUGACAUUUGAGAGUCUAGUUCAGGGUGAGAUUAAGUUCACUCAAAUUAAGAUCUAUUAUUUGAUUGUCAUUAAGGCCAAGGAUGAGAGUCAGACAAUCACAAAUUAUGAGGCUAUUGUCUUAGAGAAUGUCAAACGUUCCUCGAGGAUAUUACUCUCCUUUCGUAAAGUUAAUUAGUAACUAUAAUUCAUAAUAUUUUUAUAGAGGACAUAUGUGAAUUUUAUGUUGUUGAUUAUUAUCUUCUUUCACAAUAGCGAAAUUAAGAUUUCCCCAUAAAUAAAGUAGAAAUAGGAUAUGGGAAAUUGCAUUUCAAAUGCUAAAUACACACAUGUAUAAUGUAUAUAAUGUAUUUACCACAUCAUUAUUAAGAGAAAG